rnacentral:rRNA from 1 species
AAGCUCGUAGUGAAUUUCGGGGUUAGUAGGUUGGUCAUGCCUCCGGUAUGUACUGGUCUCACUGAUUCCUCCUUCCUGAUGAACCGUAAUGCCAUUAAUUUGGUGUUGCGGGGAAUUUGGACUGUUACUUUGAAAAAAUUAGAGUGUUUAAAGCAAGCUAACGCUUGAAUACAUUAGCAUGGAAUAAUGAAAUAGGACGUUCGAUCCUAUUUUGUUGGUUUCUAGGAUUGACGUAAUGAUUAAUAGGAUAGUUGG